UGUUAUAAAAAAUACAAAAAACUGUGAAGCAUGAUAUGAAAAAAAAUAAAUACUUAUAAUACAUAACGUAAAAAUCAUACUCCCUCCGUCCCACUCCAAUAAGCUCGUUUUCCUUUUUGGGACGUCCCACUCCAAUAGGCCCAGUUUAAAAUUAGUAAUAAUUAGGAUUUCUUAAUUCUUAAUUAAGAAAGGAUAUACACCCUUUCAUUUCUCAUUUUGACUUCAUUCCUCACCAUUGUC
rnacentral:lncRNA from 1 species